GGGGUCGUGGUCUAGACAGGUAUGACGUUGGGCUCCAGAAAUCCAUGAAGGACUUUAACUGACCCGUGAGGGGAUGACGAGUUUUUGGAGCGGAAACCCAAAUGCCGGGGGUUCAAAUCCUCCCGACCCCA
rnacentral:tRNA from 1 species